CCUACGUGCGGCAGCAGUGGGGAAUAUUUGACAAUGGGGGCAACCCUGAUCCAGCCAUGCCGCGUGUGUGAAGAAGGCCCUCGGGUUGUAAAGCACUUUCAGUGAGGAAGAACGCCUGGUGGUUAAUACCCAUCAGGAAAGACAUCACUCACAGAAGAAGCACCGGCUAACUCCGUGCCAGCAGCCGCGGUAAUACGGAGGGUGCGAGCGUUAAUCGGAAUUACUGGGCGUAAAGCGCGCGUAGGUGGCUUGAUAAGCCGGUUGUGAAAGCCCCGGGCUCAACCUGGGAACGGCAUCCGGAACUGUCAAGCUAGAGUGCAGGAGAGGAAGGUAGAAUUCCCGGUGUAGCGGUGAAAUGCGUAGAGAUCGGGAGGAAUACCAGUGGCGAAGGCGGCCUUCUGGACUGACACUGACACUGAGGUGCGAAAGCGUGGGUAGCAAACAGGAUUAGAUACCCCUGUAGUC
rnacentral:rRNA from 1 species